AAGUCGUAACAAGGUUUCCGUAGGUGAACCUGCGGAAGGAUCAUUAUUGAAUAAACUUGAUGUGGUUGUAGCUGACUCCCUUGAGGGGUAUGUGCUCGCCCGUCAUCUUUGUCUUUCCACCUGUGCACUUCUUGUAGAUUUGGAUGUAAUAUAUUGAACGCUUCUUAAUGGGGCUUCUUUACGCGUUCAAGUCUAUGCUUUUCACAUACUCCAAAGAAUGUAACAGAAUGUAUCACUAGGCCUCAGUGCCUAUAAACUUUAUACAACUUUCAGCAACGGAUCUCUUGGCUCUC
rnacentral:misc_RNA from 1 species